rnacentral:rRNA from 1 species
AGAGUUUGAUCCUGGCUCAGAACGAACGCUGGCGGCAUGCCUAACACAUGCAAGUCGAGCGAGAAUCAAGGGGCUUGCUCCUUGAGGAAAGCGGCGCACGGGUGAGUAACGCGUGGAUAACGUACCCAUAGGUUGGGAAUAACCUGUCGAAAGACGGGCUAAUGCCCAAUAAGCUCGCUGAGGGGUAUCCCUUGGUGAGGAAAGCGGGGCAACUCGCGCCUUAGGAUCGGUCCGCGUCCUAUCAGCUAGUUGGUGAGGUAAUGGCUCACCAAGGCUAAGACGGGUAACUGGUCUGAGAGGACGACCAGUCACACUGGGACUGAGACACGGCCCAGACUCCUACGGGAGGCAGCAGUGGGGAAUAUUGGACAAUGGGCGAAAGCCUGAUCCAGCAAUGCCGCGUGGGUGAUGAAGGCCUUCGGGUUGUAAAGCCCUGUCGGCGGGGACGAAAAAAUCGGUGUAGAGCCGAUCUGACGGUACCGCAAGGGAGCACCCGGCUUACUCUGUGCCAGCAGCCGCGGUA